AAUAGAUACCCUGGUAGUCCACGCCCUAAACUAUGUCAACUAGUUGUCGGGGAAGAAAUUCCUUGGUAACGCAGCUAACGCGUGAAGUUGACCGCCUGGGGAGUACGGCCGCAAGGUUAAAACUCAAAGGAAUUGACGGGGACCCGCACAAGCGGUGGAUUAUGUGGAUUAAUUCGAUGCAACGCGAAAAACCUUACCUACCCUUGACAUGUACGGAAUUCCGCAGAGAUGUGGAAGUGCCCGAAAGGGAACCGUAACACAGGUGCUGCAUGGCUGUCGUCAGCUCGUGUCGUGAGAUGUUGGGUUAAGUCCCGCAACGAGCGCAACCCUUGCCAUUAGUUGCUACAUUCAGUUGGGCACUCUAAUGGGACCGCCGGUGACAAACCGGAGGAAGGUGGGGAUGACGUCAAGUCCUCAUGGCCCUUAUGGGUAGGGCUUCACACGUAAUACAAUGGUCGGUACAGAGGGCUGCCAACCCGCAAGGGGGAGCUAAUCCCAGAAAGCCGAUCGUAGUCCGGAUUGUAGUCUGCAACUCGACUGCAUGAAGCCGGAA
rnacentral:rRNA from 1 species